rnacentral:rRNA from 1 species
GAUGAACGCUGGCGGCGUGCCUAAUACAUGCAAGUCGAGCGAACAGACGAGGAGCUUGCUCCUCUGACGUUAGCGGCGGACGGGUGAGUAACACGUGGAUAACCUACCUAUAAGACUGGGAUAACUUCGGGAAACCGGAGCUAAUACCGGAUAAUAUAUUGAACCGCAUGGUUCAAUAGUGAAAGACGGUUUUGCUGUCACUUAUAGAUGGAUCCGCGCCGCAUUAGCUAGUUGGUAAGGUAACGGCUUACCAAGGCAACGAUGCGUAGCCGACCUGAGAGGGUGAUCGGCCACACUGGAACUGAGACACGGUCCAGACUCCUAGGGGAGGCAGCAGUAGGGAAUCUUCCGCAAUGGGCGAAAGCUUGACGGAGCAACGCCGCGUGAGUGAUGAAGGUCUUCGGAUCGUAAAACUCUGUUAUUAGGGAAGAACAAAUGUGUAAGUAACUAUGCACGUCUUGACGGUACCUAAUCAGAAAGCCACGGCUAACUACGUG